GCAGGGGUCGCAUAAUCCGGUAUUGCGCCAAGCUCAGACCUUGGUUGCCUUAACGGGCUAUCUGGGUUCAAAGCCGUGUGUACUUGAGUAUGCACUGGGUGAAAAUCCCAGCCCCUGCG
rnacentral:tRNA from 1 species